GAUGAAGAACGCAGCGAAAUGCGAUAAGUAAUGCGAAUUGCAGAAUUUCCGUGAGUCAUCGAAUCUUUGAACGCACAUUGCGCCCACUGGUAUUCCGGUGGGCAUGCCUGUUCGAGCGUCAUUAUCCUCCCUCAAACCCCGGGUUUGGUGUUGGACCCAAGUUGUGUGAACAACUGGUCUCAAAGACAAUGACGGCGUCCGUGGGGCCCUCGGUGCAACGAGCUUUUAGGAGCACGCAUCGAGUUGCAAGGACCUUCCGGGCCGGUCUCCUUUACCAUUUUACAAGGUUGACCUCGGAUCAGGUAGGAAUACCCGCUGAACUUAAGCAUAUCAAUAAGCGGAGGA
rnacentral:misc_RNA from 1 species